rnacentral:rRNA from 1 species
AUGAACGCUAGCGACAGGCCUAACACAUGCAAGUCGAGGGGCAGCACAAGGAUAGCAAUAUUCUGGUGGCGACCGGCGCACGGGUGAGUAACACGUAUGCAACCUACCUGUAAGGGGGGGAAUAACCCGGAGAAAUUCGGACUAAUACCGCAUAAUACCGCUGAACUGCAUGGUUUAGUGGUUAAACAUUUAUGGCUUACAGAUGGGCAUGCGUAUGAUUAGCUAGUUGGUGAGGUAACGGCUCACCAAGGCAACGAUCAUUAGGGGUUCUGAGAGGAAGGUCCCCCACACUGGUACUGAGACACGGACCAGACUCCUACGGGAGGCAGCAGUGAGGAAUAUUGGUCAAUGGGCGAGAGCCUGAACCAGCCAAGUCGCGUGAAGGAAGAAGGUUCUAUGGAUUGUAAACUUCUUUUAUAAGGGAAUAAAAAAGAGUACGUGUACUCUAUUGUAUGUACUUUAUGAAUAAGGAUCGGCUAACUCCGUGCCAGCAGCCGCGGUAAUACGGAGGAUCCAAGCGUUAUCCGGAUUUAUUGGGUUUAAAGGGUGCGUAGGCGGACCUUUAAGUCAGUGGUGAAAGUUUGCGGCUCAACCGUAAAAUUGCCAUUGAAACUGAAGGUCUUGAGUGUAAAUGAGGUAGGCGGAAUGUGUUGUGUAGCGGUGAAAUGCUUAGAUAUAACACAGAACACCAAUUGCGAAGGCAGCUUACUAGGAUACAACUGACGCUGAGGCACGAAAGCGUGGGGAUCAAACAGGAUUAGAUACCCUGGUAGUCCACGCAGUAAACGAUGAAUACUAACUGUAUGCGAUAUAC